ensembl:rRNA 5S_rRNA 5S ribosomal RNA
UUUGUCAGCGCCUAGCUCUUUGCAACUCUUACGCGUUCACCCACUGAAGCUAAGCAGGACUGCGCCCGAUCAGUACUUAGAUGGGAAACCACCUGGAAAAGCUAGGUGGCUGCCGGAG